GCAGGAACAUGGUAAGUUCAUGUGUGUUUCACUCAGUGUGACCAGGUGAUUCUGAACAUUUAUUUCUGUCUGGAGCUGGGGAACAACAAUGACUACAGGGGACAGAGCAAAGCAUUGCCACCUGUAGAUGCCGAACUGGACUGGAGACACACCCAUUUCCCGCUGGAGUUGGUGUGAGUCUCCCUUACUCUCUUUGUAGCCUCUUUGGCAGCUUUUUCACACCAGGAGGUAAAUGGGGACAUUAUGAUACUCUUUUCCCAGCAGGUACCCACUGGAGACCGGUUUCCAUGGAGACCAAACCCAGAGGGACCUUUCUGAAGAGGCAGUUUGUCAAGCAAGGUGUGCAAAUACUGAAAGAGGGAGCAAGGAGAACGUGCUCUUUUUAUGGAUGAUGGAUGGAACUUGGUCUAUAGUUCUGGUUCUCAACCUUGGUCAAAGGAGAAGUUUAAAAUAUGGGAGUCAGGAAAGAAAGCAUAUUGCAGGAGUGGUCAGCUAAGAGAAAGAGCCGGGAGAAGAAGACAGUGUUUUAUAGCCUGGGCUAAACCAGCCCAGUCCCAGGUUACAUCUAUGGACUUUCCAUGCAGAAACUGAGGCCAACAAUUGAUAAAUGGGAUCUCAUGAAAUUUUGGAAGCUCUGUACAGCAAAGGAAAUGAGAUCUGUGUUCACUGCAGCUCAGUUCACAAUAGUUGGGAAAUGGAAUCCACCAGCACAUCUAUCAACUGGUGAAUGGAUAAUGAAAGCAUAGUAUAAACACACAAUGGGAUAUUACUCAGCUGAAAAGAAAAAUGAAAUCGUGAAAUCUGCAGGAGCUGUCUACCUUUGUCCCUGGUCCCUGGGACUUGCCGAUUAGUGCUGCUUUGUUGGCCAGUGAAGGCCGAGGAUCAGCCUAUCUCUACUCCUUGCACAAGGACUGCAAGCGUGUGUCACUGAGCCCAGCAUUUUUCAUGGGUGCUGGGUCUCACACUCAUCCACAUGCUUGUGCAGCAGGCGCUUUACCAACUGAGCCAUUUCUUCAGCUCCUGCUAAGGGUGAGUGAUGUCCGCGGAUUGAUUUUUGAGUGCUAAACAAAUCUUGGAUUCCUUUGAUAAGCCAGAUGUAUUAGUCACU